CAGAGGGGGCAAGCGUUGUUCGGAAUUACUGGGCGUAAAGGGCGCGUAGGCGGCCUUCUAAGUCGAACGUGAAAUCCCCGGGCUCAACCCGGGAACUGCGUCCGAUACUGGAAGGCUUGAAUCCGGGAGAGGGAUGCGGAAUUCCAGGUGUAGCGGUGAAAUGCGUAGAUAUCUGGAGGAACACCGGUGGCGAAGGCGGCAUCCUGGACCGGUAUUGACGCUGAGGCGCGAAAGCCAGGGGAGCAAACGAGAUUAGAUACCCCGGUAGUCCUGGCCCUAAACGAUGAAUGCUUGGUGUGGCGGGUAUCGAUCCCUGCCGUGCCGAAGCUAACGCAUUAAGCAUUCCGCCUGGGGAGUACGGUCGCAAGGCUG
rnacentral:rRNA from 1 species